UGGUUUCUGUUGAUGUUGGUUCAUAGAGCUUGAGAUCUAACUUAUUUUCCUUUCAAUUUAGUGUUAUAUUUCAUUGAUUUCUUCUUUCUGUUUUAGGAUGGUUUGUUUUGACUAGUUCUCUUGUUUUAUGUGUUAUUUUACUUUCUUGUUCUGACUGUUCUAUUUUUCAGUUCCAUUAAGAAACAGUUGUUGGUGUAUUUUGCUGUAUCCUAAAUACAAAUAAGUGAAUAACUAUUAUUAAUAAGUAAUGAAAUUGU
rnacentral:lncRNA from 1 species